rnacentral:lncRNA from 1 species
GCAAAAGACUUCACACUGAGGGCUGCAGGGCACCUGCCCAGGUAGAAAAGAUCAGCUUUAGUGGCUGAAUGAUCUGCUAAUGGCUCUCAAGCACAGGAGAUGACUCCACCUGGCCACCCUACUGGAUAUUUGCAUUUCCAAAGAGAGGAGACCUCUCCCUACCCCAAAGGGAAAAUUGGUGAAAUUGCCUCCUGUUGGAGGGGGAUCAAUGCAUACUUGAUGCAACGACUAAAGGGAAAUUUGAAUUUAAGAAGGAGAAGCAACAGGCUGCUCCAACCUUGAUUUUAUUUUAUUAUUUUUUUUUUUUUCCUUGUGAAUGCAAACUGCGAAUGAAGAAAGCACAUCCUAUGAGCAAUCCCCUGAGACAUGAGCAAUCCCCUGGUGAGGUGUCUCCGGGCUAUGGACUCAUCACGGAGCUUUGAGACCUGAUAGGAAUGUGCAGGAGUGGGAUGUUCCCAAAAUAUCGCCUGCCAUUUGGUAACCCAAGCAACGGUUGGUGUGCUUGUGUCACAAGUACUAUGGCCUUUUUAUGUUCUCCUGGACCUCAUCUUUGGAAAGAAGUCUUCAAAAACUUCUCGAAGGUGUUUGACCAGUUCUCCGAUACAGCAUUGUUGGAGCCAGUGCACGAAAAAGGCAAAGUUGAAAAGACUUGGGGGCAAAGCCAGUUCAUGUUCCUAAUCUGGUUCUUGGAGGUGAUAUGCUCCCUCUCUUGUGAGCAAAGGGAUUCUCUUCUGCUGCAGCAUCCGCACAGGGGCUCUGGGAAGAGCCGUGGUGUCAGUGCAUGACAUGAGGCAGAGCCAGAGCUGCUCAGAAAAUCGUUGUGCUAAGUUUCCCUACAUUUAAAAGGGGUAAAGGGGAUUACAAGGUGAGUGUAGGAAGCAUCAAGUUAUUUUGUUUUUCCAUCCUCCCCAUCUUUGCACAUCCUCCCAAGUCUCCAGUCCUUUAAGAAUGUUUAAAGGGCCAUUGUUGCUAAAGGAGAUGGUACCUCUUCUCAGAAAUACUCAGUGGUGCC